rfam:Schistosoma curassoni strain Dakar, Senegal genome assembly, scaffold: SCTD_scaffold0017189
GCACUGCUGAGAUGUCCCAUACUAGGACGAAACGGCCGUCCAGUGC